rnacentral:ncRNA from 19 species
GUCGGAUCGCCCGAAUUAACAGGAGUCAUGAUCGCUUCAUCGUGGUUAAUUUAGCGUAAACUUAAAUAAUUCGCAGAAAUAACGCCUUACAAAAAACCAAAGGUUGUCCUCGGUUGUGCCCUGAAUUUCGGAUAAAGUCCAAGUAAUACUUUUCGAUAAUCAAGAUCUGUAAAUUUCUUCGCCGGAAACUGGAAAAACGAUAU